rnacentral:rRNA from 1 species
AUUGAACGCUGGCGGCAGGCCUAACACAUGCAAGUCGAGCGGAUGAAGAGAGCUUGCUCUCUGAUUUAGCGGCGGACGGGUGAGUAAUGCCUAGGAAUCUGCCUGGUAGUGGGGGAUAACGUUCCGAAAGGAACGCUAAUACCGCAUACGUCCUACGGGAGAAAGCAGGGGACCUUCGGGCCUUGCGCUAUCAGAUGAGCCUAGGUCGGAUUAGCUAGUUGGUGAGGUAAUGGCUCACCAAGGCUACGAUCCGUAACUGGUCUGAGAGGAUGAUCAGUCACACUGGAACUGAGACACGGUCCAGACUCCUAUGGGAGGCAGCAGUGGGGAAUAUUGGACAAUGGGCGAAAGCCUGAUCCAGCCAUGCCGCGUGUGUGAAGAAGGUCUUCGGAUUGUAAAGCACUUUAAGUUGGGAGGAAGGGCAGUAAGUUAAAACCUUGCUGUUUUGACGUUACCGACAGAAUAAGCACCGGCUAACUUCGUGCCAGCCGCCGCCGUAACAC